AAUUUUAUCAAGAUGGCCGCUUAGCUAGCAACUAGCCUAAGUUAGACUUUUCCUUUGAUAGAAUGUAAGUAUGUUGAGUAGGCCUUUAAUUCAAACAUGGGGGAUGAACUUUUUAGUGAUGCAGGUUGUGCUCCGCUACAUGAGAUACACCUUAAGCUACCAAAUGGGGAUGUAAAACCCAAUUUUGAAUUUAUACUUAUGCUGGAGGUUGGAGAAGAAAUAAAGAGAAUUUGUGAAGAUCUGCAACUCACAUAUAGGGCGGAUGAAUUACAGAUGGUUUUGUUUCCCACAAAUGGAAAGUCAGAAAUCUUGGACAAAACAAGGACUUUAGAAAGUUAUCUGCAUAAUUUAUCCAGUGGAUACAUACAACUCCAAUGCAUAUAAAAUCUGUAACUUUUGUUGUGUAAAUCAUUCUUUUCGAAAUAUUUUUAACUUCAGAUCUAUUUAAAUUUUUUAUGAAAUUGUGUAAAUUGGGUAAUUAUUGACAAAAAGAAUAUUUUUUAAAAUCUGAUACGUAAAUUUCAAUCAAUUGGAAAGACUAUAAUUUUGGUAUACAUGGAGCUUGGGGUCUGUCUACAUUAUUCUAAAACCUAAAAAAAAAUUAUACAUUUUUUAUAAUAAAAUAAUUUAUAAUUAAUAAUAAAUUUCCUUCAUUUAAUCUAAAAGAAGACCAUGUGUCUUAACUACAGUGUUGUUAGUUUUGAAAGCUUGUUAGAAGAUUUAUAAUUUUUCUAAGUAUGUUUACAUUUUUUUGACAAAGAAAUAAUUGAUAUCUUCCUCACAUUAAAUUAACAUUAAUGCAAAUGAUGUUUUUUUUUUAACUAGUAAAAGUGUACUUAUAACUGGAAACUUUUUUUUUUAACUAUACUAUAUGAUACAUUAAGAUUUUCCAAAAAAAAACUAUGAUUGUUCAAAUGAUUUUAUAUUUAUAAAUCAGUAAUUUUUUUUGAAUGCUUUUAUCUGACUUCUCAAAAUUGUAAUUGGGAUAUGGCCAUUAUUUUUGUUGAGUAUUUUCUAACAUGAAUUCAGGCAUAUAAGCAGAAGUUUAGCAGUUACAGUUUUUGUCUCUUCAAUAAAUGUCUUGUACUCUAUGGAGAGUAAUUUUAUAUUAACCACUGGGUGGAUGCAAUAAGACUGUUUAUGUUUUUUCUUUUGUUUAAAUUUUAUUUGUUUGUGCUUUUACAACGCAUCUCUCAUAAUUUCAAUAAUAUUUGUGUAGCAAUUAAAUAUUUUACAAGUGAUACAUGUCAUAUUUAUUAGGCAGAGAUUUUUACUGGCUUUGUCCAAAAACUUGACUUGGUUGAUUGAAACAUUUAUCCAUUAUUUAUCCAUUAAUCAGAGAGUUCUAAUGACUGUAAAUCACGCUAACAUUUCUUACGCUGCCUUAAGUCUUUGCACAUGUUUAUAGAAAUUUUAACGAAUUCCUGGUUGUCUGUAGGCAAAAGUGGUUUUGGGUUUUUAUUUUCUUUUGAACUAAGAAUUGAUCUUAUAAAGACUUGUCUAUUACUACUGCAUUCCAUGUAUGUGAUAAAAGUAUUGUAAUAUUUUUUUUCAAAUGCAUAAUUAUAAUAGCAAUGCUAAAUGACUUCAUUCAAUAACCAAAGCAAUGCAUUGUAUGUUGUUUCGGAUAGUAAGAAGGGUAAACUUGUUUCAAAAGCUUUCACUUUUUUAAAACCAUUUAGUUACUUAUAUUUAAAAAAAAAAGUAUUUGUAUUGCAAAUGGUAUUUCAGAGUAACUGUAUUGAAGAAAACGCAGAUAACUAUACUUAAAAAGGUGACAUGUGUAGCCUACAAACCUAAUAUUUUGGCAUUUCUUAUACAAUUGUUAAGUAUUAUUCAAGAUUUUUUUUUCAUCCUUGUUCUUUAAAUUUUAUUUUAAAAAUGUUUAUGUAUCUAUUUUAAAAUGUUUCUACAUCAUUAUCAAUAUUAUUUGAUGACAAGUUAUUGCUCAAAGACAAUACAUGAUUUAAAAC